rfam:Schistosoma mansoni strain Puerto Rico chromosome 5, complete genome
AUCCAGCUGACAAGUGCCAAAUAGAACGAAAUGUUAGUCCUGGAU